GGACUACUCGGGUUUCUAAUCCUGUUUGCUCCCCACGCUUUCGCGCCUCAGCGUCAGUUGCGAGCCAGAAAGCCGCCUUCGCCUCUGGUGUUCUUCCUAAUAUCUACGAAUUUCACCUCUACACUAGGAAUUCCGCUUUCCUCUCUCGCUCUCAAGUCGUUCAGUAUGAAACGCACCUCCUGGGUUAAGCCCAGGGCUUUCACGCCUCACUUAAACAACAGCCUACGCGCCCUUUACGCCCAGUCAUUCCGAACAACGCUAGCCCCCUCCGUCUUACCGCGGCGGCUGGCAC
rnacentral:rRNA from 1 species